CAACGUAUGGGUGUGUGAUUGACUGGAUCAACAAGUUACAGGAGUGUCACACCAGCUAAUGGGAUGCAGAAAUUGUUCACCUGAUGUCAAUGUGAAUCAAAAAGGGUUGUAUAAAAAACAGCAUUUUGUAAAUCAGCAAGAAUCCAAUAUCCAAACUUUUUUCUUUACCAUACUAUAGGAAACUCUACGGCCAGAAGGGGGCGCUCACUUCGGGGCUCUCAGUCUCAGCUGCUCCUGGAGAUGCCUUUUCGCACCCAAAGCCAACUGAGCGGUAUCGAGGGUGUGCAUCUGACUGACGCCAUGAAUCAAGCCAAGCAGUACUCUUACCACCUGAGGCCACACAGCGCUGGACAGGGGACCACAGGCCGGGGGAAACAUUGAAACCCCACACACACACACCUCAUGUUCUUUGAUGUUUUCUCAGCUGGCUGGCGGCCUUCCCUCUAUAGAAUUACUUUACACAUUGUUCGCUCAAUGUGCCAAGAUUUCUAAAAUUAAGCCAUAUGACAUCAGAGCCAUGACCUCACAGGGUGGGGUUAAGUCUACAGAAAUGGUGUGUGUAAAAGAUAACCUUUCAUCCAUUGUGAAAUGAACACACACACGCCUUCCCACUCGUUCUCCAUCGCUCUCACACACACUGCGAUAACCUUUCCUCCUGUUGUGGAGAAUGAGGCAGUCUAUCAACAGCCGGUCAUACAGAUAGCCCACCUGCAGCCGCAGCCACACACACACACACACACACACACGUCUGGUCUUCCCUCUAAAGAAACAUUUGUGUUUCUUUACUAUGAAUUUUGUAUUACUUUAAUAUGCAUUUGCACAAUAAUAAUCCAACUUGUGUCAUUUGAUAUACCUGAAUGUUGUUGUUUUUUUAAAUGUGUAUUAUAAGAAAUAAAACAAAUAUUGACAGAAGGUAGCCCAAUGGAUUUAGCUUUAUUUGCUCCCUUUUUAGUAGAGAUUUUUUUUUUAUCAAAAGAGGCCAGGUGCCCCGGUAAGCCCUGGAUAACAUCCGGCAAAAGUACUCCAAAGAGGCAAAGAACGAUAAACAAUUACCAGUCUAAGAAUGAAGCAAUAAAAGAAGCACACACAGAAAACAAAAAUAGAGGUUGAAUGUGGAGUAUCCAUUUUCACUCAAAAUACAAAAACAUGUCACUCCACUGUAUCUCUGACUGUAGGUUUCGUUGUAUGUACUUGUCACAUUUGUGCUCUGCGAGUGUUUUUGAGUCAUUGUAAGAUGCUUGAGAGGGUGUACUGAGCAACACACCGG